UUAUUCAUUUUCACUUAUGCAAUCAAAAAUAAAUAAAUUAUAUAGGUAAAUAUUGGAUUAAAUUAUCCAAUCAUAUAUAACUAAAAUUAAAAUUUUAUAUNUCACAUGUCUUCUCUUCCGCCUUCAAUCUCAUAUUAUUCAUUUUAAUUUAUACGGUCAAAAAUAAAUAAAUUAUAUAGAUAAAUAUUGGAUUAAACUAUUUAAUCAUAUAUAACUAAAAUUAAAAUUUUAUAUAAAUAAUAAUUUUUUACUUCAAAAAUAUUCUGUAUAUUUUCUCAAGCAUACAAUUAAUAGUAAGGAAGGCAACGGUGGGCAUAUACUGUUACUUGGUAACUUGGAGGGCUUCCAGCUUGGCCACUGACGGUGAAAGACAGAAAAAGAGAAAGAGAAAAACAUAUUAAAAAUUUAGAGCUCUGUGAAAGAAAGAAAGAAAGAUAGAAAGAAAGAAAGAAAAAAUGUAUAAAUUUAGUGAAAUUUUGCUUUUUUAUUUGUUUAUUGGGUUUGUUUUUAUGGGCCAACAACAUUGGCCCAAUUUUAACUAAACUCAGGUUAUUCACUCAGCCUAUAUAUAAUUAAAAUAUAUUUUAUAUAUAUAGAUUUGGGCUAGAAUACUAUUGAUAGCAAAACGUCCUUUUUGCUAUCAAGUUUUUAGCCUUUGGAUCAACUUUUUCAUCAUUUUUAAUCAUUGGAUUAAAUACUAUAACCCAGUGGGGAGCACUCAACCCUAGGGGGACCACUCAACUCUAACCGACUAAUAUCAUCCUAAUCCUACAAUUUCUCAUCCAAGUGUUAAAAAUUUGAUAGCAAAAAGAGCGUUUUGCUAUCAAUAAUAUUCCAA
rnacentral:lncRNA from 1 species